CGAUGCCGAUUCUUUUUAACUUUAAUUAGAGAAGAAAUAAAUAGUGAAUCAGUGGUAGAACGAGUGGUUAAUUUGCUUUUAUCUAAAUCAAAGAUCCGCGUAAAAUUAAAUUAUUAAACGUUUUACCGUAUCUUUUAUGCGUGUCGACGAAACGAAACAGAUGAAUCUCUUUUCUAGCAUUUCUUUUCUGCUACAUUGAUUAAUGGAAAGAUAGUCGUUAAUUUCAAAGAAGUAGCCCUCCUCGAGGACCUAUCGCGGCUGAGUAAUUUAAUUCGUAGCUUCUCCGAUCAGCUUUUCGAACGAAACUCGAAAGUAGGUUGACCGUUCCUUCGACGAAGAAAUGAAAUUAUUAUUUUAAUUUUCCCUAUCGCGAUUUCCCCGCGACCACCGAUAACUCGUAGUUAGUUUGAUCCGUUAUACGGCCAACUUCGUAAGAACGUACGUCGUUUCUACGAUAACGCGAUCCAGCUUCGACGAUAUAUUUCGAUAUAAUUGGACAUCAUGCGGACGCGUUAUCGUAUUAAAUUAUGCGAGUUAAGUAAAAUAUUACUUCGAAAUUAAUUACAGCUAAUUAAAGGAAUACAAAUAAAUUUCAACCACGAACGCGAAUUUCAAUUAAAUCGAAAUGUAUUCGUAGCAAGUAACCGUAUCAAUUGCUACGUAAUAAUUGUUUCGUUGUCGAUACCAGCAUCACGUUAAAAACGUGAUUCUACAGAUUUCUCGUUACGUAUAUGUUACAUGCAACUUUCUUCUCGUCGCUUCUUUUUAUCUCGAAUAAAACUAGGAAUAUUCGCGAUUACGCUCGUGAAUAUAAUCUGGAUAAUUAUUCAUAGCUCGUGUUGGUUAAUUGGAAACGAACUGUAGCUACGUAUCGUUACGUUUAUCGUUCAUUUGCUUCCUUUCUUCUUUUUUUACAUAUAAAGUUUUAAAAGGUUUUAACUUGCAGUCCCGUAAUUUAACAUCGAAGCGGAAACACUCCGAUCGUCUCGUAAUUUUGUUCGUGAAUCGAAAUUUGUCGAAAUAGCUACGUUGUAUAUUUCCGGUAUUAUCGAUUCAUACUACGAAACAGAUUCAAACGUAUAAAUUCAUGUUUCACGCGUUUAUCGCAUGAAAUGACAAAUGUAUAGCUCGUGAAUUACGAACGGCGGUAUGCUAAUUCGGGGCGAUAAACGUCAAUAGAGAUCUCUAGAAUUCGUAUCCUGUGAUUCCUACUAACGUUACCGGUGAAUAUCCAUCACCUGCAAUACCGGCAGCCAGAAUCGAUCGGUAGUGGUAAUAGUAAGUGAAACGCGAUCUAGAAACGCGCGAGCCUAAAUAUCGAUCACUCGUCAAGAAUGAUAACGAGGUUCGCUUAAUCGCCUCUCCGUUCAAUUAAAUCGUAGUUUCUCCAGUGCCAACGAUCGUAAUUGUUUCGCCGUUCGAUCAACGAUAAAGCUUAUUCACCAGAUUCCUAGUAUCAAAGGAGACAAGAGGGGAGAAAACGAUAGAAAGAGAGAGGAGAGACAGAUUCCAUUGCGAGAAUUCAAGCAGCGAAAGUGGCGUUAGUGCUCCGUAUUUAACGGAUCGUAUCACAUUCCACGUAUUUCGAGUAAAAUCAAUCGCGAGCUAUUGAACAUCUUAGUAGUUUCUAGAAUGUUAAGACACGUCUUCGUGCACAGAGACGUUGAUUUUCAUUUCGAUAUCGAGAAAAUGGGAAAGAUGAGAAAAUUAUUAUCGGGAAGCGAAACAGAGUAGGAGACGGUAGACUAGAAUUUUGUAGCACGAGUCGUCGAUGGUGUUACGAAAACGUUGUCGAAGUCCAAUACGCGAUGGAACGCGUCUUUCUUGCUUUUGAAACCGGCAGGAUGGUCCGUAGUAGUGUAUGCUCGAAUAGCUCGGUUCUCGAGAAGGCGGAUCAGACGACGUCCUAUCUACUUUGCGCUCUCGAUAUUACACUCGUAGGUGAAAGCUACGCGGAAAACGCGAAUCGAGAUCGGAAGAGGCGAGACUAGACGAGACGAGAUGAGACGAGACGCACGUACGAAUAUUCAGACUUUAGCUGCCUGCCUUCUUUACGAUCCAAGACCAAUCUCUGUCGCCAUUUAUGAGCGAAUGAUUUGCGAAAGUACGAAAUAUCGACUUCUUCUUCCCAAAAUUAUGUGUAAAUAUGUUCCAUUGGUGGACAAGAGUGCAAAUGUUAAGAAAAAUAUCUUGCUAAUCGGACAAAUCGUUUAGAUUUCUUUCGUCGUCCAAUUAUUCGUGUCAAAUACGUUUGAGAGAGUAUUACAAUUUUUGAAAAUAUAUUUCUCUAAAUGUUAAUAAACGAAAUAGAUAUCUUUAAAUAAAAAAAGAGGAACGAUCAAUUAUUAUUAUUUGGUCGAUUAUCGAAUCGAACACUUUCGUUGGAAUUCGACGCGAAAUAAUGGAAGCAAAAUAUCACAUCGAGUUCUACCUAUUGAGGAAAAAACAAACGUUCUCCAGCAAAAUCCGUAGAAUUCUACGAGAACGGAAAUUCAGCGGCUUCGUGAGUAUGAAUCUGAGGUGAAACCGAGGUCAUAUUCGAACAUAUCUCUUCUCAAUUUUGCCACCUCUAUCUUCCGUGUACCAUCUAUCUUUUUCUCCCAUUCAAAUCCAAAUUCCCCGUCCAAUCUCUCUAAAGACCAACUAAUAAAUUGGUUACGAAUCGCACGAUGCGUAAUUACAUUUGACCUUAUCGAAUGGAAUCUCGGAUAUAAAAUUUGAUCGGACGCGAUAUUUUUACCAAUUUUUAACAACACGCAUGUAUAUAGGGAGAAAUGAAAUAAACCGAACGGAGGAACGCGGGCAGAGAUGGCAUCGAUCUAUACAGUUUUGCCAAGGAAACGCGAUUCGCAUCCAAGUUGGAGGAUGCAAGAAGCAUCGAAGCGAGAGCAGAAGGAAGUUGCAUCGGACGCGAAAUACGAAUCGAUCAAGGAGAAGAGGGAGAUAGAUCUCGUCGUUGAAGCCGUCUACCAAGACGACACGUUUCACCAAAGGCUGUUAAGUCCGAAGGAAGGACGAGACCCUGGGGGAAAGAUUCUCGCCACUUUCGACUCGCCUUGCUCCGUUAUCCCCGUUUCCACCGAGGAGAUAACUCUUGCCCGAUUCCCCGCCAAGAAGACCGGUAAACGAUCGGACAAAGAAGCACGAGCGAGAAAAGAUAACGAUCCAACAUGCAUGUAGAAAAGGGUCCGUACCAAGGUUAUAAUCCUUGCGUUUCCCCGUCUUAUUACCAUGCUGCUGACUGACAGCAACGGGAAUAGAAGAGGCGGUGGAACGGCACGAGACGAGUCAGAAAUUACUCCUCGUUGGGAUAUCUAUGCGGAAACGGUGAAUUUCAGUAGCAACGGAUAGAAGAUACCUUGCCACGGGGUAGAGGUCACUCUCGCGUGAUGGCUAACGAGCUCGGUGAUCGUUGAAAGAGAAGUGGGGUAAAAGGAAGAAACGGCUGGCUCGAAACGCCAACGUUGCGGCUUCGACCCGUUGCCCGUUUCACCUCCAACAAUUUUACACCGCGCACUAGCAUCGUAUCCUGCGUUACUGGACUACCUGUUUAACGAACAAGUUUUUAUCUUUCCUAUGUUUAUUUACAAUGGUACCAUUUACUACUCGCUUCCCGAUGCACGUAAAACAGUUUUCAACCAUGUAAUCCGAAAUUCCAAUUGCUUGCACCGCUAUAAAAGAUAAAAUGGAAAAAGAACGAGGGAGGAGGAGAAGAAAGAAAUUUUAAUAUUUAAUAAGAGGAAAGAAGAAAAGAUUAUGGUGGCUGUGGGUCGUUCUUUGACAAGUGCGAAUAACUCUUUUUUUUCUCCAAGAUAAUGGUACGUGUAAUUUUACGCGCAGUGAAUACGAAUACGAAAUGUACUUAUUUGAUUAUACAGAUUCCGUGACAAUUAGCAAAUUGUUCGCUGCUAAUUUUCUACUUAAGGAUAAUUUCACGAAUUCCCGGCAAUUUUUCUUCUUUCUUAUUCGUGAAUACUUACUUUCAAUUCUAUCUAUAUAUAAAUUGUUCAAUGGUACGAAUAACUUUAACCCUCUUGAUACAUGCAUUUACGAAUGAUGUGUUUUCAGUUUUACUUUACAUCAUAGUUGAGAAAGGAAUCUGUCGAUUCCACAAGCGUAGGAAAACAGAUGUAUCCAAUCAUAAAAAGUCGCAACGAUACGAGAACGUAUUCGCCACUUGUUCGCGUCCAAGUGUACGGACACGUGUCGCGUUUCGAAGUUGGCAGUGGAGUGAAAAGUUGGUCUGCCAAAAAAACAGCAGAGGAAGAAAAGAUCCGUAACAAUCUCGCGGGAGUUGCGAAGCAAUUUUAUAUUGCGCGCAUUGGACGCAGUCGGCCGCCAGUUUCUUCGACUUCCACUUUCCACGAGGACGAUUUCCGGAAAGCACGUGGGCUACGAAGAAACCGGGUAGUUGGAUUCGGAGAAACUGCUUGGUACCCGCAACCAGUAUCCCCCUUUCCUAUUCCCUCGGAGAUUUUUUACCAGACCUCGCUUCUUCCUCUGUUUCUUCCCUAUCCGAAACACUUUUUUCUCAUUCUCGAGAUAAGGCAUCUCAAUUUCACCUAGUCUCUCUCUUUCUCUCUCUUCCUCUCUGUUUUCUUUUUUUUCAUUUUCUCAUUCUUACUUUUUUUUCAUAUAGAACCUCUCUAUCUUUCUAAAAGAGGAGAAUCUUCUCAACCCUUUAUACGAGCAAACCGCGUUACCAAGGCCAAUCUUUUCACAAAGUGCACAGACAUUUUUUAUUUACGCGAUCAAUUAUGUUAAGAGGAAACGAACGAGAAGAAAAAGCGGAACGCUCGUUCCUUCCUGUCCGUAUUAACAUGCGUUAUCCCCUGUUGCGAUAAAACAUUUUCUCCAGCGUUGCAUCAAAUCAAGUAUGCCGUAACGAUUGUUUUUCGAUGUUAAACCACUCUCGACCGAAAGUCGAGAUCUCUCGAAAAGUUUGAGAAACGGUACUUUCGCUGGAAGGAGCAUAUGCUCGUUAAAAAAGUAAAUUUUAAUAAUAGGAGACAAUUGCAGGCGAGUAGAGGGAGCGUACUUGAGGACGGCAGCCAAGUUUCAAGGAGUUGAAAAGAGUUUCGAGUGGAGCAAGUCGGACAUCCUUUUAACUGGCAGCAAAGUGGCGAGCUCCUUUUCUUUUUGAAUACACCCUUUGCCCUCUUAAAAAGUCGAGAAAUAGGAUCGAGAGGAGUAGUAGUAGUAGAUAUAACCCGAAACGCAAGAUUCGUCCAUCCGAGAAAGUAACAUUUGCCUCGUAAGAUCGAUCGACAAGAUGCUCUUUUGGAUUCAUCGAGUAGAAUAACUCGUCUAUUCUUUACCGUCAAUUAUCUAAAAUUACACGUACGAUCAUUCGCGCGCAAAUAGAAACGGACCAUGUUAAAAAGAGGUUGGAUGGCCUCUUUCGUUGCGACCGAAAGAAAUUCCGACUCAGUUUUCGAAAUUGGAUGAUUGCCAUUGACAAAAUCGCGAAAGACCGUUCGUCUUCUUCUUUUCAAAGUAAAUUGUCAAGUUCUUUUGCACUUUUCGUUUCAGCGUUUAUCAUCGCGACGAAAGACAGUAUUUAAAAAAUUAAGCAAAGUCUAAAAAUAAAGGCAACCUACACCACCUUUUUCUUUCGUGUCUGACAACGUCUUGGAAAUAAUAUUAAAGUGCAUUCCUAAGAGAAAAGCCGAAACAAACUGAAAUAUUCCUGUGACGGUAAACAAAGUUUGCGAAGAGGAAGAAGCAUUCUCGUUUUCCUCCUCUUCCAACCCUUGUAACUUUCUACGUGAUACGAAACGUGGUGGGAAAUAUUUCUGCUGACUUUGUGAUUUCGUACCACCUUAUAAUGACGCAUUACUAUGCGUAUUUUGAUAUUUCCAUCUCUAAUUCGAUGUUUCACGUUCAAUUUAUAUUUUAACGUUCAUAUUGAAUAGCUCGCUCUUUUCUAUAUCGUACGAAUGUAAAAAGAAUUUGCUUACGAGAUAUAUAUAUAUAUAUUUUACGUUUCUAUCGUCGAUAUUCUACGCGCAACACGUUAUUCCUGUCUUUUAAACAGGAUCAUUUGCAUAUAUCACUAGUUUUUAUAACGUUAUACGAGUGCGAUCUUUCGACCAUAUCAUUAAAACACGAAUAAUCGAUUAGAUACGUAAAUUAUAUUUAUCAUCUAUAUUUUCAAACGUUAAAAGAUAAAAAUAUUAUUGGGACAUUUAUUUUCUAAAAAAAUCUUGAUUCGAUCGGCAAUUCGAACGACAUAUAACAAGUUGAUUUUGAAAGAAAGUUUCGAUCACGGUUCUUCAAUUUUUCGAUUACGAAAACGAAUAACUUUUGUAUAUAUAUAUGAGCACAAUGAGCUUAGGUUGGGCUAGUUACAGACAGACGAAUAAUAUUUCUCCCCGUUGGUUAGGUCGGAAGGCGCGGUCUGGCGUGAAACUUUCUCGCUAAAUAAAAACUCAAAAUUCUGCCCCAUAAGUUUAGCGUGGGGAGGUCUGUUUACGGAAACCCUGACGCGGAAAAUGCAGAGGGUGCUUUGUACGUCUACGUUCGUAUAACGCGUUCUUCUCCGAGUCCGGCAUUAAAAUUAAUGGUCCACUGCGUUACUUCACCGGUAUGAUUUUUAAACGCGUCCUCCUUCCUUUUUCUUUUACUUUACAUCCCCCCUCCCUUUCUAUCGCAUCUUUUCGCCGCCAAAUUUUUCGAUCCAACGUAUUUACAAUAAAUUACCACUUUUGUCCACGAUCGUCCGUGAUAAAUUAAACUGUAUCCGUUACAAUUUAAAUGAAAACGUUUCUUCCGAAUUAUAUCUUAUAUCUUUGAUACUUGAUUAAUAAUAAUACUCGAAGUAAGAUAAUCUCAUUUUGAAUCGUCGCUGUACCGUUUGUCGGUUCACCAGAGCGUAGGGGAAUGAACAAUCGGGAAUAUCUGUUCUUUCGAUUCGAUCGAUUUUGCGUCGAAUACGAUUAUUCGUUCGAAUAAAUUUGUUCCUUUCCUUGCGCUUUUUUGACCGCAGUUUGACGAUCGUAAAAUAUUUCGUGUCGAGUCAUGCGAAACAGCGACACUCCAAAUAUGGAAAAUAUUAUCGGAACGAACGAUUCGUAAAAGUUCUUUUUUUACGCGUUCCGAUAUUUAAGAGAUCGAAACGCUUAAACUCGUUCGUGUAUACCUACGAUAUUUAACCGCAAAGUAUUUUCCGAUACUUAAAGAAGGCAAUGCAUACGAGAUUGGCGAUAAGCGAGACAGAGACGCUACUGCAUAUUGCAACGCGCAUCGUUGAAUCGUUCAUUGCCGAUGCAGAACGCGACGAUAAGAAGCGAGCCGUACAUCGACGACGAAUCCAUACGAAGCGAGGAUAACAUCUGCUUAGGAUUUUGCGCACGCGUGAUAAAACUUUGCCGCGACCUACUAAUUUCCUUUCGCUCUUUCUUUCCAAGCCAAGGGGAUAAAUUUCUCACGCGACUCCAAACAUUUGCGUCAUGUUUCCGUUCGUGUAAAUACCAACGAUAAAUCGUGCCCACUGUUAUUCCAACUUGUUCCUUAUGGUCGGUUGCCUUUGGCUAAUUUUUUUCUUCUUCUUCUUCUUCUUCGAAUUGCCGAGGGAAAGGAUCUCGUCGAGCGAGCUAUAAAACUGAGAAUACGAUUGGCAAAUGCCACAGAGAGAUGCGCGCGCAAAAUAUUCGAACGCGAUCUUUGAUCGCGGUGUUUCGAAUUUGUUCGCAUCAUAUACGCUCGCUGUAUGAGAAAAGAUAUCGAUUAAAUCUUGUUGAGAAAAAUAUUGAACGAUAGGCGCGAAAAUAAGUUGAAAAUAAAAUGUUUUUAUCGAUAUCUGUAACGUGACGUAACGUAACGUAGUCGCGAGCCGUGAUUGGAACGAGAGUGUGACAAAUAUAGAUGAUAUCGUAGAUCGAGGAUUGUCGUCGGCGAUAUGCAAAAUAAAAUUUCUAUCCGUCACAAAUCUAUAAAUUUAUUUUUUUUUUUCCCGCGUUUGGUCGCGUAUAAAAAACAAGCGUAUCGAUACAAUACACGUAGCGAUAUCAAAUCGGAGACAGUUGGAAGGUAUGACGUUCGAUAUCGCGCUUCAACGAACUUAUCGAAAAAUCGUCUUUGCAAAGGAUGCAUAAAAAAUAUUGAAAUUCAUCAAUCGCGCGCAGAAAGAGCGCUUACUUUAUGACUGGUGCACCUCGUAUGCUUCUUUUUCUUUUUUUUUACGAUCAAAUUUAUUGAACGCGAAAUCGAGGGCUUAUAGUUUCCACACGUUGCUCUCUUCCUCUCUUUCUCCUUUAUAUACGUUUUUUUCAAGACUUUUCAUAUGGUUCGCUUAUCGUCGAGUCGAAGAGGCUCGCGAUUUAUACCAUGAUUUUCUCUUUCCAUCCGAGAGAUACUAUACACCUUUCUUUUAUUAUUAUCCAUAUAAAUUCCAUUUUCGAACGGAAUGCUAUCUUUUUAAUAUAAAGUUAUACAACAA